rnacentral:rRNA from 2 species
CCCGAAACCAGGUGAGCUACCCCGAGACAGCCUAUGUUAAUUUAGGGCUAACCCGUCUCUGUGGCAAAAGAGUGGGAAGAGCUCCGGGUAGAAGUGACAGACCUACCGAACCUGGUGAUAGCUGGUUGCCUGAAAAAUGGAUAGAAGUUCAGCCUCGCAUCCCCCGAUCCAACAAAUAUAUCGUCAAGAUGCUCAGGGAGACAUGCGAGAGUUAGUUAAAAGGGGUACAGCCCUUUUAACAAAGGAUACAACCUUCACAGGAGGAUAAAGAUCAUAAUAUAUAAGAUAUACUGUUCUAGUGGGCCUGAAAGCAGCCACCUAAACGGAAAGCGUUAAAGCUCGGACAGACAGAAGUUUAUUAUACUGAUAGGAAAUCUUAUUCCCCUAGCUGUAUCAGGCCAACCCAUGCCCCCAUGGAAGAGAUUAUGCUAAAAUGAGUAAUAAGAAGACACGCUCUUCUCCCGGCACACGUGUAAACCAGAUUGGACUAGCCACUGGAACUUAACGAACCCAACCCAAGAGGGCAGUGUGAUUAAUAGAAACCUCAAGAAGAACUCACAUCAACUGAUCGUUAACCCCACACUGGAGUGCUAUCUUCAAGGGAAAGACUAAAAGAGGAGGAAGGAACUCGGCAAACACAAGCCUCGCCUGUUUACCAAAAACAUCGCCUCCUGCAACUAGACUAAGUAUAGGAGGUCCAGCCUGCCCAGUGACUACGGGUUCAACGGCCGCGGUAUCUUGACCGUGCAAAGGUAGCGCAAUCACUUGUCUCUUAAAUAGAGACCUGUAUGAAUGGCUAGACGAGGGCUUAACUGUCUCCCCCCUCCAGUCAGUGAAAUUGAUCUAUCCGUGCAGAAGCGGGUAUAAAUAUACAAGACGAGAAGACCCUUUGGAGCUUAAGGUACAAAAUUCAACCACGUUAAACAACUCCAUAAAAGGCAAGAACUUAGUAGCAAUGAAAUUUUACCUUCGGUUGGGGCGACCGCGGAGGAAAAACAAGCCUCCGAGUGGACUGGGCCAAACCCCUGAAGCCAAGAGAAACAUCUAGAAGCCGCAGAAUAUCUGACCAAAAAUGAUCCGGCUAAAAGCCGAUCAACGAACCAAGUUACCCAAGGGAUAACAGCGCAAUCCCCUCCCAGAGCCCGUAUCGACGAGGGGGUUUACGACCUCGAUGUUGGAUCAGGACAUCCUAAUGGUGC